GGAAUCGCCCAGCUGUCCCCUCAGACGGCAGCCCGUGGCCGUCCCCUUCGCCGUGGGAUGCGGGGAUUUGGGGCGGCUGAAGGAGUUGGGGCGGCUGAAGGAGUCGGGGCCCCCAGCACUGUAGCGCUGCUGCCCUCACAGGGGCCGGGCCCCCCCCGAGCCUCCAGUGCUUGUUGAGGUUUCAGUCUCCAUUCUGCUGAUCCGAAAGAAAGAAGGCGGCUUUUGGAGGACUUGAUCAUCGCGAGUCGAGCUGCUGCUGAACCUCCCCUUCCAACAUCCAGCAGGUUUGUUCUGCAGGCCCCGAUGAUGGCACAGGCAUGAAAGAGCCCAGAGCUCGUCGCUGGGGAGAGGCUGCGUAUGGCGUUGUGAAGGGAGAGAUGGAGGAGGGGUUUGAGCAGCGCUGUGCAGGAAUGAACGGCUGGUAAGAGAAGAGCUGACUUGGAUUUCUUCUGCCACUGUCCCGUGAAGGAGUUGAUUUACUUCAGUCCAUCCCUGCUCUCUUUGUGGUUCAAGCCAUGCUCCAAUCCCUCCCCCGGUCUCAGUGGGAUCAGUUUGUUCUGUUCUCAUCCACUUACAGAAACAGAAGCUACCAACCCACCAAACCCUGGGACAGGUAUUUCCCUACAGAAGCAUUCAUGUCCUUCUCCUGGACCCUUCAGCCAGUUCCCAGCUCUCCAAACUGAGGCGUACGGCUGCAGCCUGCCCCAUGGCUUCCUUGGGUUAGCUGUGGCACAGCCUCACCCCGAGAAGGAGAUGCCUUUCCCCACAUGCAGCUGGUUCUACGAACACAUGGGACAUCCUUAACCUCUUCAGCCCCCUCCGCCCCGGCUUCUCGGACUCCCACAGUUUCUGAGAGGACCGCCAUCACCAUCCCAGGAUCCCCAUAUCCCACCGACGAGGAACCCCACAGCACAACACAUCUCAGGAUGGGGCUCCAGCUGUGCCCCGAUGCGUUCAUUCAAGAGAGGAGAAUGAAUGAGCGUAAGGGGGCGACUUUCCUUCUGACAUUGCCCACCACCUGCGUGUUGGCUGUGCCGUGCCAGCAGCAUUUUGUCCUCGAGCUGUGAGUGCAGGUAUGCGUGCAUACGGGGGUGUGCAGAGAUGGUGCUGAACAUCCGAGCGUGCAUUGCACGUGGCUGUGUGCACGGUGCUUGCAGGUGAAAGUUUUGCAUGUGUGCGCAUGCACAUGGCUGUGUGCAAGGCCAGAGCAGCGCUCGUGUCGUCGUGCACGUGGGUGUGCAAAGGGAUGGAGUGCACGCAUGUGUAUGUAUGCAUGAACACGGGAGAGUGCAUCAAGGUCUUUGCACAAGGCCAUUUGUUUUAUCACACUUUUGCGUGUACAUGAAUGGAGUACGCACACAGGGCUGUGCAAGGAUGCGAUUCCACGUGUGUGUGAAUGCACAGGUGUGUGUGCAGGGAAAUCUUUGCACUUGGGUGUAUGGUUCUGCACACAUCCCUGCACACAGAUGCGCGUGCAAGGGAGCAGCGGAGGCUCCUGGGAACAGGAGAUUGCUGGGAGCGGCAGAACUCCCGUGAGAGUGCUGGAGAGCACAGGGCCGGGAAGCACAGCUCCGCAGCACUGCGCUCUGCACAACAGCCUGCAGGACGGCACGGAGCGCUGACAGAACCAGGACACAGCGCCAUAGCAGGCACUGCAAAGGAAACAGCUCCAUCCCAGCCACAACAGUGACAGGCAGGCAGGCACUGGGGAGGGCUGCACGGCAGAGGGACGCCCUCUGAGUGCCACAACCUGGAGCGCUGUCUGCAAGCAGAACAGUGCCAGGAUGGCAGCCUGGUGGUCCUAAGCUGCAGAGAUGCUGCUCUGGACCAACAGCCUGUCAUUUUUUCAGAAAACGCCGUCCUUUUGCUGAACUUUGCUCAUUGUACACCCGUCAUCACAGCAAAAAACGCUCAGUGCUGCCCUGGGAAACUCAGCAAUCUCCACAGCAUUGCUCUCCAAGUUAGCACGCUCAUGGCCAGGCUUUGUUCCCAGCAGCUCUUUGCACGUGCUUUGCAGACAGUCUGUUUGUGGGCAGUGCAAAGGACUGCUGCAUCCAUUGCAUCACUGGACGGCAGCAUUUGCUGACGGAGCUAUGGCAGUUCUGAGCGAGCGCCGCGAGACCAAUAACGAGGAGGUGGUGCAGCAGCUCUCCGAGUGCCGCUGGACAAAUCAGGCCGUGCGCUCUUUGUGAAUCUAUAAAUUUGACUGGUGUUUAAUGACUACGUUUGAAGGUGGAGUGCUGAGAUGGGCGGCACUCAGUGCUGCCCUGUAACGCCGCGCACUGCAGAAGCUGCUUCCUGCUUAUGCUCCUCCUCUCAGUCCUUCAGCUGCAGCUUCUGCAUCAUCUCCACAAGGCUGUCCACUGCGGAGGCCUGGGAAGAAACGGAGUGAGGGUAGAAACAGGACACCACUUCCCUCGGGAUUUUACAGUCUCUUCCUUUCAUGUGUGACAGACAGAGGCCCUGAGAACAACAAGAGCCGUGUCUGUGUUCACCAAGGACUCACCUCUGCACGUGCAGCAGCAGCUCUGAGGGCAGCCUUCUUCAGCUCCACUCUCCUCUCUUUCUGUCGCUGUCUUCUUGCUAUAA